GGGCCCGUAGCUCAGCCAGAUUUGAAGGUAUAACUUCCGAUCCUGAAAAGGAAGAGUACCGGGCUUUUAACAAGUCCUGGAAGCCACCCGGAAGGUUUGGCUUUUGCCUUUCCUGGGUAGGGGUCCCGGGUUCAAUUCCCGGCGGGCCCG
rnacentral:tRNA from 1 species